AUGCAGAGCAAAAAUGCUGCUGUCAUUGGUGCCUCCACCACCACGGGCACGGUGUGCAUCACAUUGACCUGUCACCUCUCUCUGUUGCUCAGAGAUGUGGUGAUGCUCCAUCCCUGCAGACAGCCGAGGUCAGGCUGGAUGGGCUCCAAGCACCUGGUGGAGCUGUGGGUGCUCCAUUUCAUCACACAGGGGAAUGGGACCAAGCGGCCUUUAAAGGUCCCUCCAACCUCGAGCCGUUCUGUGAUGCCACGAAGGGGGAUUUCCCUCACAGGAUCACAGACUUCGUGCCGUCGACGGUGUUCUCCUCCCGCAGCGCUGCGGGGCCGGGCGGUGCAGCGGCUGCCGCGGCCACACGGUGGUAGGAGAAGCCCCGGCAGCGCUGCGGGCUCCGCUCCGCUCUGCUCCAUUCCCCCCCUGCCCGCAGCCCCGGCCGCAGCUGUGACGAACGGAGAGCACAAAACUCUUGUACGAAGGGCUGAGGAACCGGCCAGCACCAGUGCGAGGUGCCGAAUUGCCACAGCUCGGGAGUUGCGUUCACUGAAGUCUGAGGGUCCUGGACUCCCUGUUCUGCAGGUGCUGUACAAGGUGCUGCCUCUGAAGGCCAUCUGACCCCACCCCCUUGUGAUGAGCAGGGACACCCGCAGCUCCAUCCAGUCUGACCUUGGCUGUACCCAUGGAUGGGGCAUCUACCACCGCACCGCUCAGCUCUCCAGCUGCAGGUCAGACAUUGUGAACACACCCAGCCUACAGGCGAAGAGGUGGUGAAGCCUCAAGAGGAGAAGGAGUGAUGUUGCCACUAAUCCCUAUUCCUGCCUCCAAGUGCCCGUGGCCAGCUGGGAAGACCCCCAAUGCAUGGCUCUCCUCCCAGCCACCCCCAGGGUCUGAUGUCCCCCCUCCACAUCUGGGUGGCAGCAGCUCAAGCCCUUCCCUGGAAGCAGAUGCAAAGUGCCCCUGUGCAGGGCCAGAAUGGUAUCCACACCCCUCGGAGCAGCUUCCAGCAGCUGCAGGAGUGCCACUCGACAGCUGACAUCCCUCCCCAGAGCAGCAGCAGGCGGGCAGGCAGCAGGUCUCUCCAGCCAUCUCCAGUUUCCUUGGUGACAGCCAGCAUCUCUCCACACACAGUGCUCAGUGGGUGCCAAACUGCCCUUUUGCCAUCACCACCCAAAAGGCCCCCCUGUGUGCUGUGCAUCCCAACCCCACUGGCAUGGACCCAUCACCCGAGCAGCGAUCAGGCUGUUUGCUGGGUUGCCUUUUGCAGUCGUUGUUGCCAUCUUGCUUAAUUCCAGCAUUAUCUGGUGGUCACAGCAUGUUUCUCUAUAUUAGGCGGCGAGCAGAUUUGUUACUCCACCUGUAAUUGCACCUUAAUACGAGCUAUCUCAAAAAUGCAUUUUUAGAGCCACUCUCACAAACACACGAGCUGCUCCUGCCAUCCGAGCGCUGCACUUGCUGCGAGUGCCUCUCGGUGGGGUUUGGCACCAGCUCUGUUAGUUUCAGUUACUGAUGCUUUAUCACAGCUGACACAGCGCGCAGCUGAAGGGCACUGCCGCUCGGUGUUUGUGAGCUGCCUCCUCCCCAGGAAACCACUGUGAAUGCAAUAUUUCACCACUGU
ensembl:lncRNA